GCCGGGCGUGGUGGCGGGCGCCUGUAAUCCCAGCUACAGGGGAGGCUGAGGCAGGAGAAUCGCUUGAACCCUGGAGGCGAAGCUUGCAGUGAGCCGAGAUCGCGCCACUGCACUCCAGCGUGAGUGACAGAGCGAGACUCCGUCUCAAAAAAAAAAAAAAAAAAAGAAAAGAAAAGAAAAAGAAAAUUUGAGACGGAGUCUGGCUCUGUCGCCCAGGCUGGAGUGCAGUGGCGCGAUCCCGGCUCACUGCAAGCUCUGCCUCCCGGGUUCACGCCAUUCUCCUGCCUCA
rnacentral:SRP_RNA from 1 species